rnacentral:rRNA from 1 species
UUAAAAAGCUCGUAGUUGGAUUUCUGCGGGGGCGGGGCGGCCGGAUGCCACUGGUGUCUCGAGCUAGCACUUCCCCCGCAUCCUGCCGCGAACCGUGCUACCAUUAGUUUGGUGGCGCCGGGGAUCGGCUCGUUUACUUUGAGAAAAAUAGAGUAUUCAAAGCAGGCCACACGCCUUGAAUAAGUUAGCAUGGAAUAAUAAUAAAGGACUUCGGUUCUAUUUUGUUGGUGUUCGGGACUGAAGUAAUGAUUGAUAGGGACAGUUGGGGCGGUCUGUAUUCCAAAGCGAGAGGUGAAAUUCUUAGACCUUCGGAAGACAAACAGCUGCGAAAGCGUUCCGCAAGGAUAUUCCCUUUGAUCAAGAACGAAAGUUGGGGGAUCGAAGACGAUCAGAUACCGUCGUAGUCUCCACUAUAAACUAUACCAGCUAGGGAUUGGGCCCAUGUUAUUC